UACAGAGGUGGCAAGCGUUGUUCGGAAUUACUGGGCGUAAAGGGCGCGUAGGCGGUUCGUUAAGUCCUGUGUGAAAUCCCCCGGCUCAACUGGGGAACUGCACAGGAAACUAGCGGGCUUGAGUUCGGGAGAGGGAAGCGGAAUUCCGGGUGUAGCGGUGAAAUGCGUAGAUAUCAUGUGGAACGCCAAUGGUGAAGGCAGGUAGCUGGGGAUGUGCUGACGCUGAGACACGAAAGCCAGGGGAGCGAACGGG
rnacentral:rRNA from 1 species